rnacentral:rRNA from 1 species
AUUGAACGCUGGCGGCAGGCCUAACACAUGCAAGUCGAGCGGAGUGGCGGACGGGUGAGUAAUGCAUAGGCAUCUGCCUGGUAGUGGGGGAUAACGUCCGGAAACGGGCGCUAGUACCGCAAACUAUCAGAUCAGCCUAGGUCGGGUUAGCUAGUUGUUGGGGUAAAGGCCUACCAAGGCCACGAUCCGUCACUGGUCUGAGAGGGGGAUAAGGCACACUGGAAUUGAGACACGGUCCAGACUCCUCCGCGAGGCAGCAGUGGGGAAUAUUGGACAAUUGGAGAAAGCCUGAUCCAGCCAUGCCGCGUGUGUGAAGAAGGUCUUCGGAUUUGAAAGCACUUCAAGUUGGGAGGCGUUACCAACAGAAUAAGCACCGGCUAACUCCGUGCCAGCAGCCGCGGUAAUUC